GAUGAACGCUGGCGGCGUGCCUAAUACAUGCAAGUCGAGCGAAUGGAUUAAGAGCUUGCUCUUAUGAAGUUAGCGGCGGACGGGUGAGUAACACGUGGGUAACCUGCCCAUAAGACUGGGAUAACUCCGGGAAACCGGGGCUAAUACCGGAUAACAUUUUGAACCGCAUGGUUCGAAAUUGAAAGGCGGCUUCGGCUGUCACUUAUGGAUGGACCCGCGUCGCAUUAGCGAGUUGGUGAGGUAACGGCUCACAAAGGCAACGAUGCGUAGCCGCCCGGAGGGGGGGAUCGGCCACACUGGGACUGGGACACGGCCCAGACUCCUACGGGAGGCAGCAGUAGGGAAUCUUCCGCAAUGGACGAAAGUCUGACGGAGCAACGCCGCGUGAGUGAUGAAGGCUUUCGGGUCGUAAAACUCUGUUGUUAGGGAAGAACAAGUGCUAGUUGAAUAAGCUGGCACCUUGACGGUACCUAACCAGAAAGCCACGGCUAACUACGUGCCAGCCGCCGCCGUAA
rnacentral:rRNA from 1 species